AUUGAACGCUGGCGGCAGGCCUAACACAUGCAAGUCGAGCGAGCGGCGGACGGGUGAGUAAUGUCUGGGAAACUGCCUGAUGGAGGGGGAUACCUACUGGAAACGGUAGCUAAUACCGCAUACCAUCAGAUGUGCCCAGAUGGGAUUAGUUAGUAGGUGGGGGAACGGCUCACCUAGGCGACGAUCCCUAGCUGGUCUGAGAGGAUGACCAGACAAACUGGAACGGAGACACGGUACAUACCCCUACGGGAGGCAGCAGUGGGGAAGAUUGCACAAGGGGCGCAAGCCGGAGGCAGCCAUGCCGCGUGUGUGAAGAAGGCCUUCGGGUUGUAAAGCACGUUCAGCGGGGAGGCGUUACCCGCAGAAGAAGCACCGGCUAACUCCGUGCCAGCAGCCGCGGUAAUAC
rnacentral:rRNA from 1 species